AAGGGGGAGGAAAAGGCAGGGAAAGGGUGAGGAAACUACAAGGAAAAGGGUGAGGAAACUACAAGGAAAAGGGUGAGGAAAUUGUAAGGAAAGAAGUGAGGAAAGGGCAGGAAAAGGGGGAGGAAAGGGCAGGAAAAGGGGGAGGAAAGAGGUGAGGAAAUUACAAGGAAAGAAGUGAGGAAAGGGCAAGGAAAAGGGUGAGGAAAGGGCAGGAAAAGGGUGAGGAAAGGGCAGGAAAAGGGUGAGGAAAGGGCAAGGAAAAGGGUGAGGAAAGGGUGAGGAAAAGGGUGAGGAAACUACAAGGAAAAGGGUGAGGAAAGGG